ensembl:lincRNA Gm15704 predicted gene 15704
CCCUUUUCUGGUCGCGGCGCUGGAGAGAGGAGCAGUGUUAUACCCCUCACCAGCUCGGGUUACAGCGGCGGCCCCGCCUGCAGACAAGGGCAUCCUGGGCUACAGAAUGGGACUGUCAAAAAAGAGAAAGAAGUCUAAGUCGAGCAUUCUCCAAGGCAUAGUUUGGAUUGCUUUUCCUGAGUAGCUGUGAUUCAGCAACAGCACCCCACCUCCCUGAGCAGCAGGCCAUGAUAGAGGCAACAGACAACGAGGGAAAAAAAGGCAAAUGAAUCAGAGAUGUGCCUCAGGCUUUGUUACAGCCCAAAGCAUGGAUGUGAUAGCUGUGGCUACCCGACAGUCUUGUGGCACCAUAGAGUCUCAAAGUCCUGAUAAAGAAGACAACAGAAGGAUGAAAAGAAGAGCUGAUCUAAGAACCCCAAACUACUUAUCUCUGGGUGUAUGUGAGAGAGAACUAUCAGGUCUCUUAUUAUUAGCCAAGCUUCCAACAGAUACAACAGCUAAUUACAAUGUGUUGGCAUUAGGGGCAUAAGAAGUACAGACAGUUUAAAGAAAGAUGGAUUGUUAUCUGGAAAGGGGAAGGUGGAAAGGGAUUCCCAGAGGACAUAACUGAAGAGCUGAGUAGUGUUCAACAGGCUGGCAAAGGGGGACAAGGUCUUAUGCUCUGUAAAUGCUUGAGGUGAAGCUAAGGAGUCUGGGAAGAUGGAUGGUAGCUUAAAAGUUCCUGGUUUUGAUUUAGAAGGACAUUAAGAUUGAUAAAUUAUAGAAAGCUUUGAAAUCUGGAGCAGUGUUAAUAAUGCUCUGUAUAGCUUCAUGUAGCUUCAGCUGUGUUGCUAAAGACUAAAGAGGGUCCUUCAGACCCUGCCUCCUAAGUGUGGGGGACACAGGCAUGUGUAAUAUUUGAUUUGAUAUGGUGCUGAGGCUCAAACCCAGGGUUUAAGGCAUGUUAGGUCAGCACUCUAGCUGGGGAGCCAGUUGUAAAUUUUUGCCUUCCUAUGUGUUCUUCCUGCUUUGAAAAGAAAAUAAUAGUUCUUUUCUGUAUUAAUUUGAUUAAUUCAAAGGUUUUGUCAUUUUGUUCAGAGAGCAUAAAUGGGGACAUUUGGAGAUCCUCGGUCCUCAGCCAGAAGUGCUAUGCCUUCUACUUUAACAGUGAUUGUAACUAAGAAGGGAAAGAAAUCACAUCUCCUACAUUUGUCAAUGUGUUAAACGAGUAACUGUGGCAUCUUACCAGUCCUCAGGAAAGCCUCCCUCAUGGGCUGCAGUAACCUCUGACUGUUGUUGUGUACUUUGGAGAAAAACCAAUAGCUCUCAUAUCUAGGACUUUAACAUUGAAAAGUAGUUUUUUUCUUAAAAGUUCAGUGCUGGGCAUGAUGGCAAAUGCCUUUGAUCUCGGCACUCAGGAGUCUGAGGGAGGCAGAUCUCUAAUAAGAGUUCAAGGCCAACUUGGUCUAGAUAGUCAGUUCUAGGCCAACCAGAGAUACAUAGGAAGACUCUGUCUCAAAAGAAUUUUCUUAAUUACUAAAUUACAAUAGUUUUAAUGACCCCUCCCCCACUAAUAGUAGGACAGAAAGAUAAUAAUCAAUAUAUAUUUUGUCAAUCAAUUAAGUUCCACAUGGGAAGAAAGCAUAAGCUACAAGUAGAAACUGUAGCAGCUUAAACUAAAGGGAACCUGUUCAAAUAUAAUUAAAAAAAAUAGGAUUUAAAAUAGUGGGCCCUUCCUUAGAUGGAAGUUACUAGAGAAGAUAAUCCCAUGAAAAUUAAAAAGUCUUGAUUCUUUCAUUACGAGCUGGAGAAUGAUUUGGGCAGUUGAGAUUAAGAUUGUGCCAGAGCUUAUUUUAGGAUCAGAAUACUGGGAAACAGUAAAGCAGGGACCAGAUGUUUAUGAAGUUGCAUCCUCGUAAGCACGCAUGGUCAAAUCUGAGCUCUGCCGCAUUCUUUCAAGCCAGAUGCCACUCUCAAAUCUCCCUGUACCUCUGCAAUACUGUAACUGUAGUUUCAGAAUGAUGGCCCUGGUAUGACUUCUGAGUCACAGCAGGAAGAUUGAAUUAUGUUCUGCUUUGCCUUCGUGUAUUUAAUUAUAGUUUUAUUAGUUGCAAGCUAGGAAAUCCAUCUGUCUUCUAGCACUGCUAGACUGACCAGAGCCUUCUUGUCAGAAGCCCGGCCAUCUCCACCAGCCACGUCUACAGCUCAUGGAGGGAAAAAGCAAAAAGCCAGGACAGCACAACAGAUUUUAAGAUCUGAGCGUUAUCCUGACAAGAGCCAUUAUCGGGACAUAAUCAUCCCACCACAUUUUUAAGGAAUUGUCACUGGUGUGUUUGUUAGUAGCGUGUCAGGUAGCAGAUUGCUUUAAUAACUAUAACAUGUCAUGUGUUGUCAUGAGGGACAACAGGAACAUUUUUUAAAAUGCACUUUAAAUGCACAUGUUGUGUAAGCAGUCACACAGACAUAGACACAUGGGUAAAAACGUUAAAACCCUUAAUAAACGCAGAGAUGGAAGAGUAAAACAGUUGACUGGGAAGAUGGGUUGUAGGGAUGUAGGGAAAGCGAGACCUGGAGCGUCCACUUUCCUGUCACAAGAAUCACUACUAACUGAAUGCUCUUAAGUGAGAUGUCUUUACUGAUGAGAGUGACUAAAGUUUGCUAUUUCAGUACAUUCCGUGCUUGGCCUUUUCCAAAUGCUUGAACAGCCUUAUGACAGUGCUUUGACCACGCCUAUGGUGCUCUGACCAUGCGCACAGUGCUUUGACCAUGCUGGGUGGUGAUGCAGCUUUUUGGAGCCAGCCUGCUCCUGUAAACACCCCAAUAAAAACUCAAUGGUUUGCC